CUAAAGAAAAAUGUCUAAUAACCCUGAGAAAGAUCACCAUUAACACUCUAAGACAAAGUGUUUUACUUCCCUGUGAAUUAGCAAUAAAAAAAAGUUACCCAAACAAAGCUCAUUGUUUGAAGAUUGACUGCUCCACAUAUCCUAAAGAAAUGAUAAGAAACUACACAGUCAGCAAUGUAGAACUUUUUUUAAAGAAAAAGGAGAGAGAAAGAAAAAAAGCUCCACCCAGAACAAAUAGAUUUCCUAUUGCACUGUGAUCUUUCUUAUCUAGAGGAAGGUUUUGUUUUCUUGUCAAUCAACCCCAGCAGAUCUUCUGAGGAUUGGCCACACCUUGGGCUGGGGAAUGCUCAGGAAGGAAUGUGGGAAGGAAGAAGGGAGAGGCGAUUUCCUGAUGGGUCAGCUGCAGGCAAGGGUCUGGACCCUGGGAAAGUCUUGGUGUAGAAAUUCCUCUCCUUGGAGAGCAACCAGAGCAGGAACAAUGCUGUGAUCCGCUGUUGGUAACUCCCAGGUCACGGCUUGAGCAACGCAGGUCACUGGCACUGGGUUAUGCCACAACACGUCCAGGGCUCUCAUCAGUGGAUUGUUUACUCUCCUGGUUCAAUCAAGCUGCCAACAUGAAGCAUUGUUCUCAAGGUAUGAGCAGGACACUUCGCUCUCCCUAAGCACUGUGGAAGCCUCCAGGGCCUUCAAAUCUGGUGCGCUGGUGACCUCUAGAGGACACAGUUUUGGUCCAGGCUCAAUGUUAAAAUUAACAAUCCAUUGCUCUGGAGAAGAAAAUGCAUUAUCAAUUUUACAGUUUUUAGUUUUCAUAGCAGAAGAGAUUUCAAGAAAUUAUCUUGCUCCAAGUAAAAUCUCCAAGGUGUCAACUGGUCCAUUUUCCUGUAAAUGAGAGAGGUUUGUUCUUGAUGAAAAUCUGAAUUUUUUUCUCUCCCAAGAUGGAGCUCAUUUUCCAAAGGAUUCCUGACUUGGCUACAACAUUAGAGACCGGCUUAAACGGAUGUCUUUAGCUCUCCUUUGUCUGCUCAGUGUCCUGCCCAAUUCUCGAAAUAAGAACUUGAGAAUGUCAGAAAAAGCAUUCAAAGAAGUCACUCUUGAAUCCUCUAAACUGACAGGGCUCGGCGUUUCCCGGAGUUGAGUGAAGUCGCCAGCCAUGCUUCUCCACAUGUUCCCUCACCAGCAGAACUUUUCAACCUGCCAAGGGGGGUUGGGGACGUUCUCAGGGCCAUCGAGGUUGGGGUGAGACAAAAUUGCACAAUGGGGCUCUAAUCUCCCUUAGGGUUUCCACAAGGGCCUGGGUCAGGGCUGCCUUUCCAAUCCCACACAAAGCCGGGAGCCUUAAAUCACUUCCUCCCUCAGGCAGUAACAUAGACGCCACACUACUUAUCCAUGGGGACAAAAAUCAGCCAACUCUUCAACCCGCAAU
rnacentral:lncRNA from 1 species